rnacentral:rRNA from 1 species
UACAGAGGUCUCAAGCGUUGUUCGGAUUCAUUGGGCGUAAAGGGUGUGUAGGUGGCGCCGUAAGUCGGGUGUGAAAUUUCGGGAGCUUAACUCCGAAACUGCAUUCGAUACUGCGGUGCUUGAGGACUGGAGAGGAGACUGGAAUUUACGGUGUAGCAGUGAAAUGCGUAGAUAUCGUAAGGAAGACCAGUGGCGAAGGCGGGUCUCUGGACAGUUCCUGACGCUGAGGCACGAAGGUCAGGGGGAGCAAACGGG